ACGAGUUAGGGCCUCUGGCCCGAACCUCCAACCCUUUGUAUCAAAACCUCGUUGCCUCGGGGAGGCCCUGCCUCACGGCUGGCCCCCCGAUGGACCACUAAACUCUGUUAUCUGUAUGUACGUCUGAGUAAAGCAUAAAUAAAUCA
rnacentral:misc_RNA from 1 species